GAUAACAAAGCUGAAAGAUGGACUUGCAUUGGGCUGUACGUUCAAUCAUGCGAUCUUAGAUGGCACAUCCACGUGGCACUUCAUGAGCUCAUGGGCCGAAAUCUGCAACGGAUCUAAAUCCAUAUCCGUUCAGCCUUUCCUUGACCGAACUCAAGCCCGAAACACGCGCGUGAAACUAGACCUCACACCUCCGGCCCAACAAAACGGCGAUGCAAAGCCGGCAGCGGCGCCACCG
rnacentral:lncRNA from 1 species